AUCAAGUGCUAAGCUAACAGAAUGGGUCAAGUCAAUCACAUCAUUCUCCUAAGGAUGUGAUCCCGUUAAUCAAAUGACAACUCAUGUCUAUGGCUAGGAAACUCAACCAUCUUUGAUCAACGAGCUAGUCAAGUAGAGGCAUACUAGCGACACUACGUUUGUCUAUGUAUUCACACAUGUAUUAUGUUUCCGGUUAAUACAAUUCUAGCAUGAAUAAUAAACAUUUAUCAUGAAAUAAGGAAAUAAAUAAUAACUUUGUUAUCGCCUCUAGGGCAUAUUUCCUUCAUGUAGGUCCCGGUGAAGCUUGGUAUUCCGAUGUUCAGGUACCUAGUGACUUCCUUCAAGUGUCUCCCAAAAGGUGUGUCUUCAUCCGGUUGUGCAAACUUUUUCCUUGAGUACGCCAUCCUAUAGAGUAGAAAAUGGAGAGGAGUCAGAAAUGAGUAGAGAAGAGUGAUCUAUGGCUCAUCUUAGUGGUCGUGUCCUACAUGCAGCGUGUGCUCUGAUAUCAUCUUGUAGUGACCCGACCACAGACGGUCAAGUCUCUCUGCAUACGUGUCAUCCCUGGAUCGGUAAUGCUAACACACACAAUACUCGAAUGGAUUUAUAACAGAGUAGCAAUCACACACUUAUUACAUUGAUAGUCUCCAAAGAGAACUUAUUACAAUAAUUAUGGCUUAAGGCCAUCUAAAUAAGAUAACAGCGGAAGGCUUCAAAGAUAAAGUGAGUCCAUCAACUCCAACGGCAUAGCUGAGUGCACGACAACGACCUAGCGCACCUUACUCUUCAUCUGAAAAAUCUGCAACAUGAUACGUUGCAGCUCGAAAACGGGUCGACAAAUGGAAUAUGCUAGCAUAGUAACAUAGUAGAGCAAUGAACAUAAUAAAUGCUACCACUACAUGCGUAUGUGGCUGGUGGAGGCUCUACAGUUAAUAUGUUUUUUUGCGAAAAGCCAAUUUUUCCCUACUUCAAAGGAAUAUAUUUUUAUUUAACUAUCAUGGUAGUUGAACAACAUUGAGAAGGUUCCUCCAACUCAAUCCCAAUUAAAAUAAUUAUCAACCCAACAAAUUGAUUUAGAGUGAUGAGAUCCAUAUGAUAAUCCAAGAACCAGAUACUCAAGCUGUCCAUAACCGGGGACACGGCUAAUCAUGAUUAGUUUGUACACUCUGCAGAGGUUUGCACACUUUUCCCCACAAGACUCGAUCUCCUCCGUUGGAUUUCUCGCACUGCAUGGUGUUUGAGAAACGGAUGACCGAGACAUAGUCUUUCAGAAGCAUUAACUCUAACCCUGGGUAGAUAGUACCAACCUACAUCCCCUACAUCUGCUAGCCUACCACUGGAAGAGGUCAUGCAACAUACUCGACUAUGCUAGAGCCCAUAAUAGCUUGUGGCUGCACACAGAAGUUUCUAGCAUGAAUAAUCUUACGAUCCCUUUGAGCCUGGGUGGCGGACCAUAGGAUGAUCACACGGGUGCUCCAGGAUAUCCUAGGACAACACUGGAUUCUCCAGGUGCCCAAAACCAACAAUCCAGCCAGAUGUGUAUUAAAGUUGCCACUUUAAGUUAACCAUUAAUUAACAAUCUUACAUCUGUCAUGGAUUCACUCGCCAAAACCACGUCUACGAGCAUAACAUAGCAUAUAAGAAAAACGUAGAAGUAGCUCCCAAGGGUUUGAUAAUAAAACGGGUAAUAGGUUCUACCUCAUCAACUACUUCCCAAUACCCACAUGUUAAACACAACCUACUCAUGCAGUGUUUGAGUAUUGAAACUAACGCAUAAAAAUUGGGUAUGAAAAGAGUAUGAUCAAUGUGUUACUUGCCUUGCUAACGACCCGCAAAACCUAGUGACUCGUAGUAGCACGCUUCGCACUCUGGGAAUUCUAUCGCAAACAAAUAAAAGCACACGUAAGCACUCGAGCAUAGAUGCAUAGGUAAAACUCAAAUAAGAAGAUCAAUCUGAAAACUCAACUGAAGAGAUUUGACCUGCAAAAAGAAUCAAUCAAAUAGGAGCUACAGAACUAAAACUACGGUCAAAAGAACUUCGAAACCAAGUCUGCUUGAAACCAAAUUUAAAUUGUCAAAACCUUGUUCAAGUUGGUAAACAAAAAGAGGGUUUCGAGAUAAAGGUUUUGGCGUUGGUUUCACUGGAUUUGGACAAACGGUUAAGAAAUGGCGAGCGUUUGAAGAUCAGGGGCUAAUCUGCGAUAGAAAUAAUCGCGGAUAGGUCCCUGGGCGAAAAAUAAAAUAAAAAUAAAAUACUAACGAACGAAUGUUCGCUGUCUGAACCUAAACGGCGAAAAGUGUUCGUUAAAACCAACGAACGGACGAGCGUCCGCUAAAUAACUAAACCGAGAAAAACCAGAUCGAAAUAAAUAAAAUAAAAUAAAACGCAUCUAGGGUUUAAAAAACCGGGGUUUUUACCUAAAAACCAAAAAAAGGGCGAACGGAUCGGAUCGGGACCGGCGUCUCCGGCGAGGCGGCGUGCGACGAGGCGGCGGCGCGGGGCGCUGCGACGAGCGGCGGUGACAAGCGGCGGCGAGCGACGCGGCUGCGGCUGCUGGAGGCGGGGUGAGGCGGGCUUGAGGGCGGCGGCGGGGUGCGGUUAUAAAGGGGAGAGGGGGCGACUCGGCUUGGGGCGGGGGCAACACGGAAGGCGGCGGCGUCCCGGACUCAGGCGGAGUCCGGCUCGGGCACGGGCGCAAGCGUGCAGGAGGAAGUGCGGCGUGGGCUUGGCCCGGCUCGGCUGGGCUGCCGGCCAAGUCGGGCGCUGACUUAAAAAAACAGAUUUCGCCGAAAAAAAUCAUAGAAAAAUAAUAAAAACUAAAAAUGGCAAAACAAAAUUUUCACCGUCUAAAUAAAAUAUUUAGAACAGGAUGGACAUUUUCUUGGCCUAAACAUGAAAUUUUUAAAAAAGCAUAUUUUCUAUUUCAAAUAAAAUUGCAAUAAAAUCCAAAUAAAAUUAUUUAUUUGAUUUUAACAUUUUUCCUUGAAUAUUUUAUUUAUUUUGGAGAAGUCAUAUUAUCUCCUCUCAUAUAUUUUUGUUAUGAAAUAUUUUUGAAGAGAAAAAUUAAUUAAAACCAAAAUGAUCCUUGUUUUAAUAUUUCAGAAAAAUUCAAAUAUGAAAACGAUGAAAUCCCCAACUCUCUCCGUGGAUCCUUGAGUUACUUAGAAUUUCGAGGAUCGCGAAACGAAAUGCAACAAAAUAUGAUAUGCAUGAAUGAUCUAAGUAUAACAUUUCAAAUUGGAAAUUUGGGAUGUUACAACACAUCUCCGAUCAAUAACCAAUAGCGGAACCUGGAUGCUCAUACUGGCUCCUACAUAUUCUACGAAGAUCUUUAUCGGUCAAACCGCAUAACAACAUGCGUUGUUCCCUUUGUCAUCGGUAUGUUACUUGCCCGAGAUUCGAUCAUCGGUACCAUCAAACCUAGUUCAAUCUUAUUACCGGCAAGUCUCUUUACUCAUUCUGUAAUGCAUCAUCCCACAACUAACUCAUUAGUCACAUUGCUUGCAAGGAUUAUAGUGAUGUGCAUUACCGAGAGGGCCCAGAGUACCUCUCCGACAAUCGGAGUGACAAAUCCUAAUCUCGAUCUAUGCCAACUCAACAAACACCAUCGGAGACACAUGUAGAGCAUCUUUAUAAUCACGCAGUUACGUUGUGACGUUUGAUAGGACACAAGGUGUUCCUACGGUAUUCGGGAGUUGCAUAAUCUCAUAGUCAUAGGAACAUGUAUAAGUCAUGAAGAAAGCAAUAGUAAUAAACUAAACGAUCAUAGUGCUAAGCUAACCGAUGGGUCUUGUCCAUCACAUCAUUCUCUAAUGAUGUGAUCUCGUUCAUCAAAUGACAACACAUGUCUAUGGUUAGGAAACUUAACCAUCUUUGAUUAACGAGCUAGUCAAGUAGAGGCAUACUAGGGACACUCUGUUUGUCUAUGUAUUCACACAUGUACUAAGUUUCCGGUUAAUACAAUUCUAGCAUGAAUAAUAAACAUUUAUCAUGAAAUAAGGAAAUAAAUAAUAACUUUAUUAUUGCCUCUAGGGCAUAUUUCCUUCAAUAUUAUAUCCUGGACAUGGUGGUGGUAGGUGAUUGCAUCAGGACUGACUGAUGACAACAGCGAUGUCGAUUGUGUUGUUGUAGUAUAGUAGUAAUCUAAUACUCAUCUGAACAUGCUUGUCCUAAUAUAACAAGUUGUAAUUGUUCUAAUAUAACACACUUGCUUGAUUUGUGUCUUAUAGAGUUAGCGUGUCCAAGAAUCAGUGGAUAGCAGCAGGUCUCAGUAGACCGUUUUCUACAACAAUAACUUCCAUAGCAAUUCAUACAACAUUCGCGGUAUACACAAGUUAUAUUCUUUCCAUAUUUUGCCAUUGUUUGUUGAGCCCACAAGCUCAAGUUGGUUUAGAACUUCCUGAUGGUGUACAUAAUGUUUAUCAGACAUUAAUUCUAUCAAGGUUGAUUGAGGAACCAAGGGGCAUAAUACAAUAGUGAAAAAGGAUAAAAGUUCGAACACUAAUGAGCCAAAUCUAACCAGCUCCAGGUAGGCUGCUUUCAGUUACCAGUUCCAUUAUGCGAUCUUUCAUAUACAAAUUUGUACCUCCUUUCAACUUCCUGGGAUUUUGCUGCAGGUUCUUUUCAAUUCUGUAGACAUCAGCAGGACAUUCAAGCUAGGACCUAUAAACUGGUAAUUAUACCAUUUUCCUUCUAAUGGAGAAGCUAUGAUCACAAGAGAAGUUCUAUUGAGAAGAUCAAUUCAGCUUCCACUAGCGUGCUAUACUGGAUCAUGAUCAUAUACCGGCAGUGCUUGAUUACCCUCACUAGCUGUAACAUGGGAAACUAUAUUAUGUUUCCACAGUUCAGUUUUUCGUCAUCAAUAUCUAUGUAGUAGUGCUGCUAUAUCAAUAUAUGUCACUGAACAAUGCUCAAAUUCCCAUGUUGAUCCAUUCCAAAUGGACUAUGUAGCUUUAGUGAUUAAGUUAAGACAGUUGACCAAGAGUUGCACCAUUCAGUGUGGUAACUUGUAUGAUGAUUAAUCGUAUAGAAUCUAUGACUCCAACCGUUUCUGCUAUAUGUGGCAUGCUUAUUUUAAUUUUUAGAUCACCAUGAUUUUCUGGCACACUAUUAACAUGGUGAUCACCAGAAAUACAUUUUAGCUGAUCAUUUACUGUUCUUGGUGUGUGGAAUUUGGAAUGAUGUUGCUAAACUCUAUGGAAGAACGAUCAAGUCAAAACAUUUCCAGUAUCUAUCCUCUGGGGAGCGAACCGUGUCGAUCGCGCUCACCUCGGAGGAGUGCAUUGUGCCUGCCACACUCAGCUCGGUGCAGCACAGGGUGAUGGCCAAAGUUCUACUACUUCAGGUUUUGUUUGUCUAACUGAACCACAUUUGAGAUUUUGUUUUCUCAAUUUUGGCAGAGGAAGUGAUUUCCUUUAGUAGUGCCAAAUUUGUUCCGAAAUUUGAAGUGAAUGAUGUAUGGAAUCGAGUGUCAUCUGGUGAAGCAACAUCUUUAAGGACUAGGGUAAACUGAUUGUAUGUCAUGACCUUUACCUGAAAGGCUUCGGAACAAUAUACUCACAUUCAAGUAUUGCAUUUUUAAGUUGGAGAAUAUCAUUCGAGAAAAAUAAGAACUCCUGAAACUGACAGGCGGGGUGGCACUACUAGCUGCAGGGCCCCUGCUCCUAGAUGAUCACUCAAGUGUAUAUUUGCCUGCAACUAGAAAGAGAAUGUUGAAGGAAGUUUUGCAACCUCUUGAUUGUGAUUUUGCGAUGAUAUGUCUUGUUGGGGUUUCAUAAAUUGAACAAUCUUCAAAAUGCCUAGAUGUCUUUUCAUAUUCAAGUUGUAAUUUCAUUGAAUAUAUUGCCAUCAAUUCCACAGAUUUCUACUCUCUUUGUUGUUCGGCACUGUUGAAUUAACAGUGUCCAUAAGGCAUAUGAUUUUAUUUUGUACGCUCACCCUAGAUGCCACCACACAAUUACAACUUAUAAUUACCGGUUCUUUUAGAAUUAAAUGAAAGUACAUACUGAUUUCUUUGACAGGAAAUGGAGAGUUUACGAAGAGUCCAUGGAAGAAAUCUACAUGCCAUCACGAGGGAAGAGGGACCUACGAUAUGGGAUGCCGAAGAGUGUAAAUUGUAGUUAUAUUUUCUUCUUCAAACAUAUAUUUUUCUUGCGACCAAUUUAUGUUGUACACUGAAAUCAUGUUGUAUACUAUAAUCAUGUUGUGUUAAGAAGUAUCAAGCUAGAAUUAGCUUGUCCAAUGACUCAAUAUGUUUAACAAUGGGGGUUUGAUAGGAUUAAAUAGAUUUAAUGUUCACUGUUUACAACCUAUCAGAGACCAAAUGGAUGAAACAUUAUAUUAUUUUUUAUGCGGCAACGUGACCACCAUUUAAAUUAUAGUAUAUGUUUUUAUUAAUAUUUUCAGACGUGCGAUGCACGUGCAAGCUUACUAGUUUUCUUCAAAGAGUUAAAGAUUUGCUUGGCGCCACUACGCGUCUUCUGGCAAAUAUAUUAGAAAUAUCCGUCACGUGGAGCGCCGUUGGAUUAGUGCCCUGACAGCCGACGCGCAUGACCACCUCCUACUUCUUGCAACAGGUGCUCAGUUUCGGAAACAAUAUCCCUUGUAUGUGUUGGUCCGUGGAUCUUUUAAAAAGAUCCGCCGCCUCGUGAGCCAUUUUAUUACGUGACGCGAGCCGUUUGAUUACGUGACGCGAGCCGUUCAAUUCUUCUCUCUAAUUUCCAGCAACGAUGCUCUUGUUGUAAGAUUUGGUCUUCUAUGAUUUCCUACAAGAAGACCUUUGUUGCGAAACCUCAUCUUCUACAAAUUUCUGCAACAAGACCCAUGUUGCAAAACAUCUUCUUCUCCAAUUUUUUGCAACAAGACUUUUACAAAAAUUGCAACAACAUCUCCUGCCGCGUCUACUUUUCUGCAACAACAACUUUCACGCGUCUAAUUUCUGCAACGAGAUCCUUGUUGAAAAAAUUACAACAACAUCUUGCGUUGUGUCUAAUUUUCUACAACAAGACCCUUUUUGCAAAAAUUACAAGAAGAUCUCAUGCAGCGUCUAAUUUUCUGCAACGUGACCCUUGUUGCAAAAAUUGCAACAAAUUUAUUGUUGCGUCUGAGCUCGAGGAGGCGAGAGCCAAGGACACCGACGCUCCUCUAGGACGGCGGCGACAUUGAACGACGAGCGACAACAGAUGCAGCUCCAGCCGUAACAAAUGCCAGAGGGCGGCGUUGAUGAUGGCCGGGGAUGGCUCGUUGACGCAGAUCCAACAAACCAGCCGUCUCCCUCCUAGUAUCGUCGUCGUCGUCAUCUCGGUGGAUAUGCCACCCCCCUACGGAUGUAACCGCCCCAGGGAGAACCGCCAUGAACGCCUACAGAAUCGCCAGAAAUGCGGGGGUAAAGGGAUGGGGGAUCUCAGAUCCAUACCUGCUGGAGUCGACGUCGGCCACAGACGAGCCGCCACCGCGUUGUAUAUGCCCAGUCGCCCAACGCCCUAUGCCGCUAGCCCGCCGACCUCUCAAAUCCAGAAGCGUCGCCCUCCCAAAGACAUGAGACGACGGAGCUGCCAGUUGCAGAAAUGUUGUCCUGGAACAAGGGCUAUGUUUCAGAAAAACGGACGCGCGUGACGCGGAAGCGGGGACGCCCUCAUCCGUCUAAUCAACAGACGAUCUAACGAGCACGGAGCCGGCGGGCGCGGCGUACAUGAUCGGUCGGAUGAAGGUAAGCUUUUUAUGAUAACCUGUUAAGAUAUGAAGCACUUGAAACGUGCUUUUUUUUU
rnacentral:lncRNA from 1 species